ensembl:lncRNA
AGAAUGAGUCACGAUUGCCAUGUAGCUACCAGGAAGAUCGGACACCCAGGCAUUCUCUGAGAUAGGUUGGCUGACCCUGCCCUCCACUUCUGCUGCUUCCUGUGUGGUCUUUAAAUGGCAGUUCACACUCGUGAAGACUCUUUGAAGAAGACUUGAGCUUAACUCGAUGGAGCUUGUAUUGCUCACCCUGUUGGUGUCCAUGAUGGGGGUAUCCUUUAGUGCUGAUACCUAACUCUCAGCUCUGGAAGUCUCACACUUUCAAAGAAUGCCUCGUGAAUGAUGAUUGGAGACAUGAAUGAACAUUUUUGGACAGCUUUCUUCUUUAGAACGUGAAGGACACAAACCUCUAAAUCCACCAGGAAAGCUCCUUUGGCUUAGUUUUGGAGAUGGGGUGCCAUGUUAACCAGGCUGGCAUCAGACUUUAUAUGUAACUGAGGACAGACCUGAAGGCCUUUGAACUCCUGAUAACCUGCUAACUAUGCCCAAGUGGUAGGAUUACAGGGGGAAAAAACUGCAUCUAUCUCCAGCUGGAAGAGAGGAUGAAAGGGAACAUGGAAAUCUGCUCUCCCCCUGAGAUGCUCACAGGAGUGGAGAAGAGCCCUCUCUGAGGCUGCAGGGCCAGUGCUGCAGAGCCUGGGCCACAUCCCUACUCCUCCCCAAUUCCUUCCUACCGCCCUAAUGUUCUUUGGUGGUAGCAAAUGCCAAAGUGUUCUGUGACCUUUUGGUGAAGUAAGUUUGGAGGCACCACAGAGAAAGCCUAUUUCUUGUAAUAAGUCUAUCCAAGAGCCCAGCUACUGCUUUUCUGGUGUCUCCAGUUUCUCGGCAGUAUGAAAACUUGUGUGAGUUCUGAGGAUAUUUUUAGUUGUUGUUGUUGUUGUUGUUUUUGAGACAGGGUUUCUCUGUGGCUUUGGAAGCUGACCUGGAACUAGCUCUUGUAGACCAGGCUGGUCUUCAACUCAUAGGGAUCUGCCUGCCUCUGCCUCCCAAGUGCUGGGAUUAAAGGAGUGCACCACCAACGCCUAGCUGAGUUCUGAGGAUUUUAAGAUUUUCUUUUUAACUUCCAGGAGUCACAUUAGGUAGGCUACUGGGCCUGAGGCUAUCCCUCACUAUUAUAUCUCUGCAAAUGGGUUGUUCAGUUAGAUUUUCAUUGCUGUGAUAAAACAGUGACUGACCAAAAGCAAUUGAAUGGUGGUGGUGUAUACCUCUAAUCCCAGCACUCAGGAGGUAGAGGCAGGCAGAUCUCUGAGUUUGAGGCCAGCCUGGUCUACAGAGUGAGUUCCAAGACAGCAAGGACUACAAAAUGAGACCUGUUGCAACAACAAGGGAAGAAAGGGUUUAUUUUAUUUUACUUUAUUGUUUGUUUUUGAGGUAGGGUUUCUUUAUGUAGUCAUGACUGUCCCAGAACUCACCCUUGUAGAUUAGACAGACUAGGCCUGGACUCACAGAUCCUCCUGCAUCUGCCUGUUGAGUGCUGGGAUUAAAGAUGUGUGGUACACAUCUAGUUUAUACAGAGUUUAUUUUAGAUUUCGGGGUGCAGUCCAUCACUGAGAGAAGCCAAGGCUAAAGCUCAGGGCAGGAGUUUGAAGUAACCAUAAAAGAAUGCUGCUUACUGCCUUGUGCGGCUUGCUUUCUUAUACAGCCCAGGACCAUAUGUGCAGGGUGGCACCACCACAUCAGUCAUUAGCCAAGAAAAUGCCCCAUAGAUACACCUACAGGCCACUCCAAUGGAGGCAAUUUCUCAGUUAAGGUCCCCUCUUCCUGGGUGUGUCUAGUUAGCAGUCGGUUGACAGAAAUUAACCAUCACUUGGAUAUGGAGGGUGCAAGACCAUUUGUGCAUCCUGAGAAGCCCAAAGGGUAGUUGAGAGGUGCUGUUUGUGGCUGUCAAAGCACUCAGAUUCAUAGGCUGUGCUAAAGUGUGUACUCUUAAGCUCAAAGGCCAAGCAAGGCUGGCAAGAUGCCCUUCACAUUGCAGAAAGAAAUGCUAAGACUAGAGGUGGCCAGAGAAUCUGGAAGAAGCGCAUAAAUGUUGACGUUGGUUUUCUACAUCAGCCUCUCUCCAUCCUUGGACAUUCUUCAGCAUUUAUGAAACUGGGCUUAGCCCAAAUAACCGAUCUCAGAGGUGUGUGCUUCCUAACAGUGCGCUUGGCGUUCAUGUAUACCUGCUUGGGAGAGCCAG